GGGUUGUGAGGUUAAGCGACUAAGCGUACACGGUGGAUGCCCUGGCAGUCAGAGGCGAUGAAGGGCGUGCUAAUCUGCGAUAAGCGCCGGUAAGGUGAUAUGAACCGUUAUAACCGGCGAUACCCGAAUGGGGAAACCCAGUGUGA
rnacentral:rRNA from 68 species